GACAGAGGAUGCAAGCGUUAUCCGGAAUGAUUGGGCGUAAAGCGUCUGUAGGUGGCUUUUUAAGUCCGCCGUCAAAUCCCAGGGCUCAACCCUGGACAGGCGGUGGAAACUACCAAGCUGGAGUACGGUAGGGGCAGAGGGAAUUUCCGGUGGAGCGGUGAAAUGCGUAGAGAUCGGAAAGAACACCAGUGGCGAAGGCGACUCUACUAGGCCGUGACUGACACUGAGAGACGAUAGCUAGGGGAGCGAAUAGG
rnacentral:rRNA from 1 species